rnacentral:rRNA from 1 species
AACGAACGCUGGCGGCAGGCCUAACACAUGCAAGUCGAGCGCGCACUCCGGGGUGAGCGGCGGACGGGUGAGUAACGCGUGGGAACGUGCCCUUUUCUACGGAAUAGCCUCGGGAAACUGAGAGUAAUACCGAAUACGCCCUUUGGGGGAAAGAUUUAUCGGAAAAGUUGCGGCCCGCGUUGGAUUAGGUAGUUGGUUGGGUAAUGGCCUACCAAGCCGACGAUCCAUAGCUGGUUAGAGAGGAUGGUCAGCGACACUGGGACUGAGACGCGGCCCAGACUCUUACGGGAUGCAGCAGUGGGUAAUCUUACAACGUGGGGUCAACGCUGAUGUAGCCAUGCCGGGUGAGUUAUGAAGGCAUUAGGGUUGUAAAGCUCUUUCAGCUGGGAAGAUAAUGACGGUACCUGCAGAAGAAGCCCCGGCUAACUCCGUG